CUACAAACUCGUAAAUCCCUUACUGCUUAGUAGUCUCUUUGUAGGGGUGAAAAUGGAGAAGGGUAUCAUCGUGGCUUAUUAGCAGUUAGCAAAUUAAUUGAAUGGGACAAUCAGUAGCCUAAUCCUAUUCCCUCCAGUUCCUGUUGGGUCUGGUAGUGGUCUUCUCCCUGGGACUGCUGCUGGUGUGUAUCUUCAAGAAGGGGUUUCUACUUCUAGUGUUUCUUCUAGCUUUGGUGGGAUGGCACUGCCACUGGACUCGGUCACUGUCAAUCUGCUAGCUUUCCUAUAAGAAGAAAGCUAGCAGAUUGUGCAAUUCUUGUUCAACAAUGCUAGUACUUAUUUACUGUGGUAACGAUGAUGCUUCAAUAGGAAUCUCACAGAUAUUUCCUUCUAUGAAGAAGUGUGGCUCAGAUAUAACCAAAUUGCUAAACUUCUCUUGAGAAGGAUGCCCUUGAUUCUAAGUCAAAGAAGGAAAAAGUCCUUGUUGAGUGCAGCACACACUCAAGUAGAGCCUAAACUCCUCCAUUACCCUCUCAGAAUCAGCCCUGUACUGAGAUGAAGUCAGGUAUUUCUUCACAUGCUCCACACUUUUUUGUGAUGAAUUUAUUGUUAUGAUGAAAUUUAAUAAAAAAAACACAA